CGACGCGUUUUGGAACUCACUGGCACUGGAUCCCAUAAGAACUCCGAAGUUAAGUGAGUUUGGGUGAGAGCAGUCCUAGGAUGGGUGACUCACUGGGAAGUUCUCGUGCCGAAACCC
rnacentral:rRNA from 1 species